CCGGCCGGACUGUUGCCGUCGGGGCUGUUGGCAGCGUGAGGCCUUCGCGGAGCAGGGGCGAGUUUGCCUCAGGUGUGGCUGCUUUUAGAGCUUGUCAGGUGUUUCUGUGGUAGAAGAGGCUGCACAGUUCUGCACAUCCUGAAUAGCUGUGUGACUUCUGACAGCAGGCUGGAGAACAAACAAGAGAAAAGACAAGCCAGAAAGAGGAGGAAAAGAAUCUAAGAUCCAUCCAGGACCAGCAUAGGAGUGGUGUAAGAAUCACUAUCCUUGGGGUCAUUUGUCAACCUCUGCCUAAGACUGGGAAUAAAGAAUGCCAAGAGAGACUAAACAGUUUAGGAAGGUGAUGGAGCAGCUAAUCCUGGAAACCGUUACCAAGCAGACGGAGGACAAAAAGGUGAUUAGGAGUAGUCAGCAUGGUUUCAUAAAGGGGACAUCAUGCUUAGCCAACCUGAUAGCCUUCUGUGAUGGGAUGACUGGCUGGGUAGAUGAGGAGAGAGCAGUGGAUGUCACCUACCUUGACUUCAGUAAGGCUUCUGACACUGUCUCCCAUAACAUCCGCACAGGCAAGCUCAUGAAGUAUGGGCUGGAUGAGCAGACAAUGAGGUGGAUUGAAAACUGUCCGAACAGCAGAGCUCAGAGGUUGUGGUCAGUGGCACAAAGUCUAGUUGGAGGCCUGUAGCUAGCAGCGUACCCCGUCGGUCAACACUGGCUCCAGUCCUGUUCAACUUACUCUGCAGUGACCUGGAUGAUGGGACAGAGCACACCCUCAGCCAGUCUGCUGAUGAUACAAAACUGGCAGGAGUGGCUGAUACCCCAGAGGGCUGUGCUGCUCUUCAGAGGGACCUCGACAGGCUGGAGAGAUGGGCAGAGAGGAACCUCGUGGAGUUCAACCAAGGGAAGUGCAAAGUCCUGCGCCUAGGGAGGAACAAGCCCAUGCGCUGGUCCAGGCUGGGGGCUGACCUGCUGGGAAGAAGCUCUGCAGAGCAGGACCGGGGGUCCUGGUGCGCAGCAGGUUGAUCACAAGCCAGCAGAGCGCCAGCAAGGCCGACGGGGGCUUCCUGGGCUGCAUUAGGAAGAGCCUUGCCAGCAGGUGGAGGGAAGUGAUCCUUCCCCUCUACUCAGCCCUGGUGAUGCCACACCUGGAGUGCUGUGUCCAGUGCUGGGCUCCCCAGUACAAGAGAGACAUAAGGCAGUCAUUGAUGACAGAUCACAACAGCAUACUGCCAAGGUAUAUAAAGCUACUGCAAACGGCCAUUGCAGGCAGACAUCGACGGCAGCCUUGUGACAGACGUUUCUGUAGUUCUGCAUAUCUUUGAGGCAGGUUGAACCAUUCAGUGAUGGUGAAAACCCACCAAGUGCCUUCAGUCCUAGCACGAAGGCAAACCAGUCCAGUUAGAAAUCUGAAAAUGCACAAAGGUCAUAGUGUAUUUUCAGGAAGAGAAUUUUUUUUUUUUUGAAAAACUGAUCAUAAUUUUCUCUGAAUGGACAUAUUUGUAAUAAAAACUGCAUGAUUACUACACUACAAAUACAGAAGAGACUAAGCCUCUUCUAGCUUUAGGAGACUUCAUAUAUUUUUCUUAAUUUACUAACUACAUUAGGCAGCAUUGAAAGUAGUCCAUACUCCCAUCAAAUAAUAAAUCUACCAAUUAUUUUAAAACAAGUCAUAGUUAUCUACAUAAUAAUUUAUUCAGCAGAAUGUCUAAUUAUGUAAUUCAUCUAUUUCUAAUCAAAAACAGUGAUAAAGAUUUGUAAUGACAAUAUUUUAUCACUAGUAUGGUUAAUGUAUAUUUCAGUUCUAAAGCAAGCACAUACUUUAAUCUUCUCCUACUCCUUUAUAUAGCAAUGAUCUCAUUUUCAGUUAGAGUUAAAACAAGAUCUGAUUUAGCUACAAGAAAAGCAAGUCUGAUUAUGUAAGCUUUGGAAUGAAAUUGCACUGCAAAUGAGACGGUUCAGAUGAAAAUCUGCCAGUUGUAUUUGCUUUUUUCCUGGGCCUUGAAGCAAUACAGUAGCAGCUCAUGCACUCGAUCACUGCUGAUUUUCACAGUUUUUUCCAGAGGGGUGUCUAAAUGAGGUAUCUAAAUGCAUUUUAUGUCAAACAGUCUAAGUAUAUGUAUUAACAGAACUGAUUUUGGAUCUUAUACCUAAGAAUAAUUACAGAAAUAAUUUCAACUGUUAUGUGAAGGACCCAGAUUAAAAUGAGCUCUCACAAAGCAUUGUGUCAUGCCACCAUGCACAGGCACGCACAUCUUUUAUACAUGAAAUAUUGGAGUUGUUCACCUGUCUCCUGUAAGGGCACAGUUUAAGGCAGCAGCUUUCCUCAGGGAAUAUGCUAUCACCAGAUUUCUCACUAGGGACUUUUCCAUGGAGAGAGUUUUUUUCCUGUCUCACAGAGUUGGUAGUGUUCUUGAAAGCAUGCUAGAUUCAUAUAAGAGGCAGUCUCAUCAAAUUGCUUUUUUGAAGCGGGAGAGAGGAAAGAGAGGUACGGAAGAUUGCGCAACCUAAAAAGGCAAUAUAGUGUACAUCUUCAAGAUCUUGCUUGCUGUAUCUCUUAGAAGCCCUUGAAAUUUGCUUUAUUGCAUUUACUUUAUUGAACAUUUCAGUUCUACUAUAUUGCCAUUUAGACCCAUUGUCAGAAUUUCACUGACAGCACUAGAUAGACAUCUGUGUCAUGAGCAGGACUAGAGCUCCUCUUUGAACUGUUGCAGCUUGGUCUUAUUGUUCCCUCAAAUUCAUCCAAAACUAUAAACAUCAAAUACCGAGUCCUGUGACACAUUUGUCUCUGAUAAAUAUUAAUUUCUUCAAACAGAACAUCCAGCUGUUUCCUCAGAAAGCAUAAACAAUACAGAAAGCACUCACACCAAAGGGAGAAUCCUUGUAAUAGUCCAGUCUGACUCACAGGAAAAUGAAAGAAUCCUUGUAAUAGUCCAGUCUGACUCAUGGGAAAAUGAAAGGGUUUGCCCCCCUUUUCAGAAGACUGUAUCUGGACCAACACUUGACACCUUCCUUCAAAAGAGGAAAGAUUGCUGAUAGGAAGUGCCAGUUUUUGAGUUCAUGAACCAGUCAGGAGCACUGUCCGUGUCAGGAAGACACACAGCGAUCUAUUCCAGUUUGUCGUGGAGAUGUUAAAUAUAUGUUCCUAGGAGACAGAAGAGGAAAAAGAGGGGCUUGCUCUCAAAGUCUCUGAGAUUUUGACAUUUUGCUGUCUCAGACUGGAUGGACUGACUGAUACAAGGCAUACAAAAUUCAGCCUUAUUAAAACCUUAUUAUUUUUGAAUAGCUUAAAACUUAUCAGCAGAUUUAUAUAGAUAUAUACAUAAAUAUAAGUGGAUUAAGGUGUAUAUAUAGUAAAAUAUGUAUUAGCUCUGAUUUUUCCAGUUUUUAAAACUCCCAUAUAAAACAUUUUCAUGGGAAAAUUGCAGACUAGCUAUUAUCCAAAUACCUAUGGUUGUAUCAGAAAGCUACUGCAGUUUUAUGUGAGAGAAAGAAGUUCAAAAAACUCCCCUCCUUUUUUGAUUCUUCUUAAAAAAUAGGGGAGUUUUCUACUAGUUUUAAUAAAAUUCACACUUCAAAAAUACACUGGAAACAGGAAAAAAUAACAAAUUAACAAAAAAAUUAGGAGCUGAAAAUGAACCACCCAACUACUAAAACACAAAAUGUAUCACUUCUGACACAAUACAGUAAUUUAAAAUGGUUAAAGGUUAUUUCUUAGGAAUCCAAGCAUAUCUAAGAAUUUCUCUCUUUCUUCACUUCCCCCAAAACAAUCCCUAAGCAAUAAUGUUUUCUUUUUCUUUUUUUUAAAAAGCUAUCCUUCCCUCCACCUAAUAAAGUUGGAAAAAUCAGUAUUACCUGUUUAUGAACCUACACUAAUGAGGAUGCCUUGCUUUACAAUUGGGCUCAUAAAAGUUUUAUUUUCCUGUUCUCUAGUAGUUCAGCAUCACUACUAACUACCAUGGAAAGCUUUGCAAACUCUGUAAUACUCAAUUUUUACCCUUUUAUAUUCCAGGAAAGGCUUGGGAUUGUAACAUUGACAAAAGCAUUUAAUAUUAACUUUACUGAUACCUUUUAAAUCUUUUUAAGAGAGAUAAGAAUCUAAAGACAACACAUUCUCCUCCCCAAAAUAAUAUAGUUCUGAAACUGGACAUGUUUUUUAAAAUGUCCUGGACUUAAAAGAAGAAAGACCUAACAUGCAUUGGACCAAAAUACUAUCUAAGCUGCUAGUGAGGAAGAUUAGAAAAUAAAUUACAAAGUUACAUGGAAAAACAUAAAUGGAGACCAGAAGGGCCAAAAAGUUGAUUCUUAACAUCACAUUUUCAGUAAAGCUGUUCCUUUUAUGCAGAACUUUAACUAAUUUUCAACUUUAUAAUGAAAUAUUUGUCACUGCUAAGAAUGAGUUAGCGGUACUGCAUAUUCUAGUGAGAGUUCCAAUCUUGUAAACUAAAUUUUAAAUUACUUAAAAAGUGCUUUUUUAUUUUUUCUGAAUAAGGCAGAGACACACAUACAGCCUUCUGCUGCAUUACACAGAGAAAUGGAAAACUAGGAGAAUGAAGUUACUGGCUGGGAUGAAGUGCUAUGCAUUAGUAUUCUUCAACAUAACAUGGUCCUCAUCUAAAUAAGCGACCAAGAAAUCAGGCAGCUGGUCUACCUUAACUUACAAGUUUCCCAUUACGAUCAAUGGUGAAAACUAUUUCCAGGCAGUGAUACAUUCUUCCUAUGACAAGAAUCCCAAAGAUAUGGGAGUCCUGGCACCUAAAGUGACUCUGAACUUCAGAGGUUCUCCUAGGCACUUAGUUCUGCCUAGAUGCAUGGCUGGUAGGAAGAGAAAGUUAGGUGAUAACACUCUUACAUUAAAUUAAUGUAUUGCCACUGGGUUAAUAAUACUAAAAGAAGAAUUAGUAAAGCAGUUAGUUAAAUUGCCUCCUCUUCUUCUAUCUCUUGCUAUUUCAGAGUGAACAGGAGAACAAAAACAUCUGAGGAUUUUUGCACCUCUGCCUUGCAGUUCUGUAUGAGUUAUUUUCUUUUUUCAUGAACAGCUGCAUAGGAGCCUACAUGAAGUGAUCAGCAAGGGCAAAAGCAAAAGUGACUUAUUAAUCAGUGGAGCAAUAAGACAUUUCAGCAUAGAAUAUUUGAGUUUUAAGAACCGCACAGGUUUCCUCCAUGCAUGCGUGUCUCACUUCUUCUGUCAGUAUAGUUCAUUCUCCUACAUUGUGUAAUGAUCACUGACAUGAGAUAUCAAAGUAGCACUUUACUCCAAUUGAUAGAUAACAAUUCAGAAAAGAUUGAAAAUUUCUCUAUAAAGCAAAGUUGUUCAAAAUCAAAUGCAGCUCCUCCUCAUGCAUCAGUGAAUAGUGAUUGACUUCUGUAGUGUUACUCCAGGUGUUCACCGCUACGAGUUUGAAGAAAUUCAGCUUCCUUAAUGUUGAGAAGGGCUUAAGAAGAUAUCAGUUUCUGUAAAGUAACACUAGCAGAUUGAUACCAUAGCAACUACUAUUACAAAUACCUGAUGGAACAGCAGCUCCUGCCCCAUAUGUCUAUCCUAUAUAUUUAAUAUGAAUAUACACAGAAUUCUCACAUACCCUGGCAUCAAGAGGUUAAACUGUAUUGUCAUUACCCAUGUAAGUUCAGCAUAAUAUCCUGUAAUCCUGUCUUACCCAGGAAAAUGAAUUGUUCAUGCACUUCAUACAUGAAAGAAGCAGCUGCUCUUAGCAGAGACCUUUGAGUUUGUCAGCUAAGGACUUUCAUAUUGAACUGCUAAGCUGAAAAGCCAUCGUAUACACAGGUUCUUGUUUUUAGUUUUAGUAUCUUAGUUUUUUGAUAAGAACUAUUACAAGUAAUGUUAUUCUUCCUGUUGCCACUAUUUAAUGUGUUCUAAUUUAAUAUUGCACAACCUACUCAAUGAUA